UAUCUUGAGUGACAUUCUGAGGCCUAAAGCCCGCCGCCGCCGCGCAUGCGCAUUCCGACCAACACCGGGGGGCGGGGGACGGACCCCGCUCUCCGCCCCCCUCCCACCAGCCUGAGAGGGGCGGGGCCUAGUCUCACUGGAGGAGCUCCUAGCAUACAUAGCCUGACUUGUAGUGUUCGUGCUGGGUAGCUGCCCUGCUACCCUUCGCCUGCUCGCAGCCGCUCUCCGCUGGGGCUGGCAUAAAACGUCUUUGCCAUGGGACGCCGAGGCCGUGUUGCCAGAGUUAUGAUAAUGAUCAUAUCUGCCCAAUCAUUUCAACCCAGGUCAAAUAAGCAGAAUCGGUUCCGAAUCCUCUUGACUGAGCAACACUCAAAUCGUUCAAGCAUCAUACACCGUACAACCAGCAAGCAUCAGAUAUUCCCAAAUCCAUUGGUGGGCAUCCCACAUGCAGGCAAAGGCCUGGAGGCUUGGGGUUCGGAUGCCCCCGCAUAGCACUUGCCCUUAACCAAAGGCCACAGGAGCAAGCUAGGGAGGAGUUGUUCAUUUCCAUAAAGUUGGUGUGUAGCCGAGAUCCUCCCAUGGGAAGCUAAUUACAAGCCUCAUUGGGUGUCCUGUUCACUGGACAGGGUGCACCCUCCCCUAUGCAGUGCCAUUUUCAGAUGUGCUAUCAGCAUUUUCUUAUGACUGCUUACCUCAAAAUAAAGAAAAGCUUCAACUUUGA